rfam:Myotis brandtii contig125812, whole genome shotgun sequence.
GGCAGUUCUUGGAUGAUGCACCCUGGAAUCAGGCUCCCUCCUCUCUGGUUUUGGGUGCAUCACCUGAGAACCACA